rnacentral:rRNA from 1 species
GACGUAGGGUGCAAGCGUUGUCCGGAUUUAUUGGGCGUAAAGAGCUCGUAGGCGGCUUGUUGCGUCGACUGUGAAAACCCGCGGCUUAACCGCGGGCUUGCAGUUGAUACGGGCAGGCUAGAGUUCGGUAGGGGAGACUGGAAUUCCUGGUGUAGCGGUGGAAUGCGCAGAUAUCAGGAGGAACACCGGUGGCGAAGGCGGGUCUCUGGGCAGUAACUGACGCUGAGGAGCGAAAGCGUGGGGAGCGAACAGG